rnacentral:rRNA from 1 species
GUCUACGGCCAUACCACGCUGAACGCACCGGUUCUCGUCCGAUCCCCGAAGUUAAACAGCGUCGGGCCCGGUCAGUACUUGGAUGGGGGACCGCCUGGGAAUACCGGGUGCUGUAGGCUUUU